AACCUAGCACACCUGCGGUGUGUACCUGCGGAGGGAUCAUUACCGAGUGUGGUCCCAUAUGAGGGGCGCCUCCCGUCCUUUGCAGGGCCUUUAGGGGCUUUUUGACUUUGCUUCGGCGGGCUUGCCCCGCCGGAACACCCUCAAGAAAAUCUUUAUGAACCGUUUGUCUGAGUUGCUUGCGAAUAAAAACAAAACUUUCAGCAACGGAUCU
rnacentral:misc_RNA from 1 species